rnacentral:misc_RNA from 1 species
CGGAAUGUAGCAGAGCCGAUCGCAAUUUCUCUCGUGGCGAAUUAUAAAUACUCUCUCGUAUCAAAUUUUACGCCGCACAUCGGCCCGCGUGGGUCGCAGCUGCGGGUGACCCGCAGGACCACCCUAUCAUCUCAUCUCGCCGAACGUCGCGUUCUUCCGCCGACGCUCUCGGUGCCUUCGUCCGGUGCUGUCGGUGGCGGCGCCGCGUCAUCCCUCUCCGCGCAAGCUCCACACCUCUCGGGGGCUAUUGAUCCACACGCGUUUCGGCCGACGGUCGGACGACGGUAGAGUGCCGCGAACAACGACGGGGGCUGCACGCUGCCCGUAAAUAUUCGUUCGGUGCGCCGUGACGGAUAAGACUUACGCGGACAAAAAGCAUCCCAUUUUGCAGCGCUCAGGCAGCAACGUGACCGAGGAUGGUCGGUGGAGUGAAGGAGGGUGGACCUCUUAUUCGACAUGUCGAACCCGUCUCGACGGCGGCGUUAGUGACGCUGUGCAUUGGCGCCGCUUUCCUACUAUGCGCCGUCGCGAUGACCUGGUGGCUCUGCCGACGACGUCGCGAGCACACCAAGCUGAAUUCCGACAAGUCCCUGGCGUUCAGGCCGCCGCACCGGAAACCGACGGCGGUUAAGAGUCCCGGCAGCACGAGCCACUAUCUGAAGAAGAGCCCGUCGCCAACAGGACCGGCCAAGAGCCCGCCUGGUUCGGGCGGACAAACCCCGAGCCCGACCGGGUCGCAGUCCUCGAAUCCCGCGUCUCAGCCCAGAACGCCGCAGAGCGCAGGCACACCGGUACAGACGCCGCCCGUUGAAGUUGCUAUAAGUAUAGAAAACGAGCGCGACAAGGCCGAGUUGGAAAAUAACGAGAAAGUUGAGCGCGAUAAGAGUCAAACAACUGAGAACGACAAGGACAAUCUUGGCCAGCUGGUCUUCAAACUGCGGUACCGAAGCGAGCAGAACGCGCUCGCUGUCACAGUGGUGAAAUGCAAGGGACUACCCGCUCGAGGUCAGCAGAACGCUACCAGCGAUCCUUACGUGAAACUGCAAUUGCUGCCCGACAAGCAGCAUCACGUGAAAACUAGAGUUCUCAGGAACACCAGGGACCCGGUAUACGAUGAGGAUUUCACGUUCUUCGGCAUAUCGCAGAGUCAACUUCAGAAAAUUAGCUUACACUUCAUCGUGCUGAGUUUCGACAGAUACUCGCGCGACGACAUCAUCGGAGAACUGACGUGCGCUUUAUCAUCAGUGCCCGGUUUAGAAGAUGCGGAUAAUCAGGAGAUAUCGCUAUGUCGAAAAAUAUGCCCCAGGAGUUUGAAGAUACAAUCGCAAGGGAGAGGGGAAUUGCUGGUCUCUCUUUGCUGGCAACCAGUCACCAGUCGGCUAACGGUGGUGGUGUUAAAAGCGCGAAAUCUACCCAAGAUGGAUGUGACUGGGCUCGCCGAUCCAUAUGUGAAGAUCUAUCUUCUGUACAACCAGCAACGUAUCGCCAAGAAGAAGACGCACGUGAAGAAACGUACGCUCAGUCCGGUGUUCAAUGAAUCGUUCGUUUUCGACAUACCGAACGGCGCGGACGGGCUCAACAACGUCAGCCUCGAGUUCAUGCUGCUGGACUGGGACCGAGUUACAAAGAACGAGGUGAUUGGCCGGCUAGACUUCGGUGGACCAAAAUGCCAAGGCUCCGCUGUGAAUCAUUGGAAGGAAGUGUGCAGUUCACCGCGACGACAGAUAGCCGAUUGGCACAAACUGCGGGAGUAAACCGGUCUCCGGCUCUACGUAUCAAUCCGAGUUCCCAUCUCCGAUUUCCCUAGAGCCCCAUAUUCUUUUCUGCUGUGAAGCCACCGAUCCGACUCUUGAAACCCUACAACGAGCUGCGCGGGGCCGCGCAUUGCACACGUUGAAGGCGUAUACAUUUUACGCGCGGUGGCGUAACUCUGUAAAUCCUCGGCUCUUGAGGGAAUUGAUAAAGGUGGCCUCUCCCUCUUCUGCUCCACUCGCAAAACUAGAAGAAAAAUGAAACUAACGAUCUGUACAUUUUGACUUGUAUAGACAUUUAUGUGAUUAGCAAGGGAAGGAUAUUUUUACGUUACACCAAAAUUUUGUCCCUUCACGUCACUUUGGGUCGCUGACGCCCCCCCGUGAGGCCCGUAAGCAUCGCUUACCCGCGCUUGAUAGUAGUUACGCCACUAGUUUUGCGACACAAUACUGAAAGUGUGUGCGGCAAGCUCGUCGGGUCGCAUCUCGAUAACAAGUCGGUGAGGUGCAUUUACUAUCUCGAGGAGAUUGGCGAAAGAAUACAAGACUCGUAUCUUCACCGAAACCUAUCUAGCGCUAAAUACGACUAUCUGAUUCUAAGUUAUCAUUUACAUGUGUAAUAUAUUGUCGUAGUAAGACUUGGAAAGACACUCUGAGUUCCCGUUGUUCCAAUCGUCUUUCUACUCUCACAACAAAGCGAAAUAAAUGGAGAAGUUCACAUCGUCUGCAACAGGCUGUCGCAAGGAUGUAGAAAAAUGCGGAAUCUGAACGAAAUUGCGAUACAUUGGCGAUUACACCGGAAGAAGGCUCGAAUUUGAAUUAUUUCGUUCGCGAUUGUCAUUCUAUUUUUACAAUGAAACGAUAAAUGAAAGAAUGCACUGUUGCUUUUAAGAGUAGCUGGACUACGAAUACAGUCUCGGCUCGCGAUUGUACAUAUGUAUAACUGAUGAACCGCGAGAAGAGUGGCGAACCUGCUUUACGCGAUUACCAAGAAAUUUUCGUUUCGACGCGGAUAAAAAACUUGCGAAACUUUUUUAGAUAAAUUUCGCGGGAACAAUCUUACAAUUUUAACGCAUUCCAAAAUUUUUAUCGAAAAAAAAAUCUCGCGAUCUUUUUGUCUCCGAGUGUAUGCGCUAGUUUGUUUUAAAAACAAUGAGAUUGAUUUUCAAACGCAAUGUGACAUCAAAAUAAUUAUUUUAUCUGAAUCUUAGAAUGUUGCAAGCACGACGAGGGUGCGUUCGUUUCGAUUUAUUCAGUGUACGUCAAGUCACAAAAUCGAAUCAUAUUUAUUUUUAUUCCGAUAGCAUUCUAAAAUUAAAAAAAACCGCAGACUGCGGUUUUAAUAUCUAAUGUUGACGCAUGGCGUUUAAAAAUUUGUCUUAUCAUUUUUAUGACUGACUUGCGCGUCAGAAGUAGGAUGGUUUUAGGAGAGUACGCAUUUUUGUUCUUAUCUCGAAAUUUGGUGAUUACAAAUUAAACAACGUUAAAAACAAUUUUUCGUUCUUACCACCGCAAGAUUUAAUAUGUGUUAUUUAAUUCUUUUUGCUAGUGCUAUAUUAUGGAUAAGAUCGAUUAACGUCCAAAUCGACGCUCGCAGAUCGCAAGAUAGCGUGAUUAUUCAUUUUGAACGUAAAAGUCAAUAGAAAGCAACGCAUAAUUAACGAAUGCAUAAUUAAUAAAUUGCGUGUCAAAAUUCACGUCGCGGAAUUUGUUCAAGUUAGAAGGACAAAGAUUUUUUAUCUGAUUGCUUGUAAAUAUGCGCGUAAUGGUCUGUUAUAAAUUUUUAAAACGCAAUUAAUCUCAACAUUAAAUUCCAUUAUUUAGGACAGCAAAAUUAUAUUUUUUUUAUAUCGCUGAAUAUAACAUUUUGUUCUUUAAUCUCAAUUUUCUAUGUAAAUAUGUACGUUUCAAUUAUACAAUCACACAAAUUUCAAAAUAAACGUAUUAAAGGAAAUUCCAGAAUAUUUUUAUACAAUCAGAUAGAAUAUUCCUGUCUUCCUAAUUGAACAAAUUUCACUUCAUCGUCCUUCUUUCAUAGCGGCUCGCUACUAGCGAGGACGAGAAGACCGCGAUGCAUGCGAGAAUAUCGAGCUACAAUUCUCGCGAAGAGGGUACGCGAGGAAAAGCGAGUGGUGGCGAGAAACGUAUCCAGACACUGCGAUCGAAAGUAUGACAGAAAAGUCGCAAUAUAUCACACGAAGACUCAAGAGAUACACCGAACAAUAAGUUUUACGUACGUUUUAAGAUAGCAAACACGACACAUCGUCGUCUUACACGGCGGUUCACUGAGAAACAAACGGCAUUACACGAUCGAGAAUUUCAAGAUAUUUAUUUAAUUGCUAAUCAUAAAAAUACAACUACCUAUAUAAAUAUAUAUAUAUAAGAAACAAGUAUAAUAAGUAGAGUACGCGUAGCGAUACACAACGUACAUCACGUCUGUCGUUCUCUUAGAUCGUGAAAACUAUACGAAUGACCUCUUGUGCGAAACUGUUCUGCGAGCAUGAGAAAAUCUCGAUGACUUUCCAGAUUAAUCUUCUGAGAUCGAAGAUGCGAGAUUGAAGAAAUUGCUUGAGACCGACAGACACGCUGUAACAUAAUGAUCAUCGGUACGAAAUGCUCGAAAAUCAUCGUUCUUGUUAAUUCGCCAUUCAAUUCUUUCGAUUCCUUUAUUCGUGCAUCCUUUUUCGUUGUUACAUGAUAAGUAAAUAAUAUAUUGUACGUUAUAAUAAAGAUAUUCUAAUUUUCUAAAGAUUGUAAACAAUGUAUGGUUCUGGACGAAUCACAGGGACAAAAUCUUCACCUUGCUAGUGUGACAAAUCAGCUUGUCGCGACAAUUAUGGUUAAAUAAAAAUUAAUUUCACCAAACAUGCAGUUUAAUUUAAUGACUAUAACGAUAAGUGACGACGAGGCUAAAUUCAAUUUAUAGCGCAUUCAUAUGAAAUUAUUAUUUAGUGAAUUACACACACGAUAUAUGUAUAUAUGUAUAAUGUAACGCUAAAAUUCACAUGUUACGUUGAAUUAAUAAAGUAUCGGUGCUUUUUAAGCAUUCGUAAGUAUUAUAUUAUAGACUAAAGAAUGCGGCGAGGGAAUACUGUGCGUGAGCAGGUUUUAAGGCUGUGUGGUCAAUAAAACGCUAAAAUAAA